rnacentral:rRNA from 1 species
CGUUCCCGGGCCUUGUACACACCGCCCGUCACACCAUGGGAGUUGGUUUUACCCGAAGGCGUUUCGCCAACCGCAAGGAGGCAGGCGACCACGGUAGGGUCAGCGACUGGGGUG